UCAUGGCAAUCGUCAGUAGUGCAGUUGACCAGUCUUGUACAGAUGCCCCCACACACACUGUGGUAACUGAUGUGACCUGUAUGGUAGGACUGCAUUAAAAAAUUUUUAGAAGUUCUAACCAGUAUAGUAUGAAGAUUAAACUACCACUAAUCAAGACAGGAAGGAAUGCAGCCUGUUAGUAGUUUAUCAGGAUCUAAAGGGACACGAGAGAAAAGGAAAAAAGAUCCUACAUAGAACAAGUUACAUCCAUGGAUCAUAAACCAUGAAAUAGACCAUAAAAGUGGUAUUACAUAAAUCACGCUGCUGAUUUUUCCAAGCCUGCUGCUAGGAUUUGCUGCAUACUAUUCACCUGGAGAGAAUGGUCUGUUGGGAAUUCCUGACUACUUUGGAAAUACUUCAGAUGUA